rnacentral:rRNA from 1 species
GAUGAACGCUGGCGGCGUGCCUAAUACAUGCAAGUCGAGCGAACAGACGAGGAGCUUGCUCCUCUGACGUUAGCGGCGGACGGGUGAGUAACACGUGGAUAACCUACCUAUAAGACUGGGAUAACUUCGGGAAACCGGAGCUAAUACCGGAUAAUAUAUUGAACCGCAUGGUUCAAUAGUGAAAGACGGUUUUGCUGUCACUUAUAGAUGGAUCCGCGCCGCAUUAGCUAGUUGGUAAGGUAACGGCUUACCAAGGCAACGAGGCGUAGCCGACCGGAGAGGGUGAUCGGCCACACUGGAACGGAGACACGGUCCAUACUCCUACGGGAGGCAGCAGUAGGGAAUCUUCCGCAAUGGGCGAAAGCCUGACGGAGCAAGGCGGCGUGAGUGAUGAAGGUCUUCGGAGCGUAAAACCCUGUUAUGAGGGAAGAACAAAUGUGUAAGUAACUAUGCACGUCUUGACGGUACCUAAUCAGAAAGCCACGGCUAACUACGUG